UCAGAUUAAAAAUCCUAUCUCAGGAAGCGAGCUAUCACCUUAGCAUAACAUGGACUAGGUGUAGACAGGGAGGGACCUAGAAAAGCCUGUUGGACGCCUGCCCCUCU